rnacentral:lncRNA from 1 species
GACACACAUCAGUCGCCAUGGAGAUUUAAAGACAAGAUCUAUUGAGAUAAGAUUUUACCUUUAUAAUUCGAUUACUCAUCUUUGAGAUAUGGUUUAAUAUUCAGUCCUUGAUUAUUCUCCUAAACAGGUUGAACCCCAACGAGAUUAAUACCACUUUUUAAGUCGCCUAAUCUCCGACCUUGCAUCACUCAACAUUUUCCAGGAGAUUAAGGUAAUAUUUCACCUUCUUAAUUUAGUUCUCUCCUGGUUUGCUUUGAACUGAUGUCGUUCUUUUUUAAGUACCAUUAUAAUGUUUGGUUUGAACUUUCCGGAUUCUCAGAUUAAGAGUCUUUUCUUUGUCUUGUUGCAAAAUAGUAUUGGCCUGUUGUAGUAGUUCCUGCAUAUUUUGAUAUUGUUCUCUAUGUACCUGCAAAACGAGCAAACGAUAUAGUUAAAGAAUCAAUGAGGUUGUUCCCUUCUCUGAGGACAUGAGCCACCUCAACCCCAUGACUCCUUAUCAUUGUCUGAUAUCCCAAGAUAUCUGCCAUGGAACCUCCCAUACUCCAUGUAUAACUUUCAAAGCCACCAGUGAAUCUGUCUCAAUUAUCAAGGGAAGGAAAUUUCCUUGACUGCAGUACUGUAACCCUUCCUUAAUUGCCAUGACCUCUGCCUCCAAAAUUUAUGUAGUACUAAUUCUUCUAGAUUCUACAAAUUUCAAAUCUCCUUCGAUAUCUCUAAUACAAAAGGCUAUACCCCUUGAUAAAAAGCAUAAGUAUUGCAUUUAUAUACUCCCAUGUGGGAUGACUCCAUCUCACCACCAUAUUUUUUGUCAAUGGAGCAUAUCUUUCAAGAUAUUUGACAAUUAAGGGCCAGUUUUGAGGGACACAUGCAUGUUUUGAUAUUGUUGUCUCUCUGUACCUACAAAAUGAGCAAGCGAUUUAUUUAAAAAAUCAAUGAGGUUGUUCCCUUCUCUGUGGACAUGAACCACCUCAACCCCAUGAAUCCUUAUCAUUGUCUGAAUGUGUCUGAUAUCCCAAGAUAUUGCCAUGGAACUCCCAUACUCCAUGUAUAACUUUCAAAGCCACUAGUGAAUCUGUUUCAAUUAUCAAGGAAAGGAAAUUUCCUUGACUGCAGUACUCUAACCCUUCCUUAAUUGCCAUGAUCUAUGCCUCCAAAAUUUAUGUAGUACUAAGUCUUCUAGAUUCUACAUAUUUCAAUUCUCUUUGCAUAUCUCUAAUACAAAAGGCUAUACCCCCAACUCCUGAUUCAAACUGAUAAGAAGCAUCAAUAUUGCAUUGAUAUACUCCCAUGGGGGAUGGCUCCAUCUUACCACCAUAGUUUUUGUCAAUGGAGCAUAUCCUUCAAGAUAUUUGACAAUUAAGGGCCAGUUUUGAGAGACAUUCUUUAACCAUGGAUAUCUACUCUUAGUAAAUAAGUAGAUGUAUCUAUGUAUAUCUAAAAUCAUUGAGGUUGUUGACAUAUUUCCACCAUGCUUCAUCACAUUUCUCCUUUUCCAAAUUUCCUGUUAUGAAAACAGGAACUACUUUAAUCAAUUGCUUCAAUUUGGGACUAUCAUCAACUUUCCACCAUUCUUCCAUAAUCUGUUGAAGCUAAUUAAUUGGGAAUGAUGGCCCUGCAACAUUUCUAAAAGUUUUCCAAACAACUUGAGCACUAGGACAAUGGACAAAUAGAUGACAGAAAGUUUCAAGAGCACUAUUAUUGCAACAGCUACAAUCAACCCUCUUCUAUGCUCCUUCUAAUUAUGACCUCCCCAAUAGGAAUCCUUCUAAACCAUAAUCUCCACAUAAAAAAAGGAUACCUUAAAAGGAAAACCUUUCUCCCAAAUUUUGGAGAUAUCUUCUAUACUCUUCUCUACUUCUUCAUAAUUCUCAGAAUGAGCUAAAUUUGAAUUCACCAUCACUACUAGGCAUCCACCAUGCUUUAUCCUUCCUUUAGUACUAUUAACGAUUCCUAGGGUAUUGCAUAUGUGAUUGCAUAUAUCCUCAUUGAAAUUACUUUCCAGUGCAUUAAUCUUCCAUCCAUCUUCAGCAUAUAGUUCCUUGACAUUUUCCAUUUGACUUUGGUUAUGUGAUAUAGGCAUAAAAAAAUGUAAAGCGCCUAGUUGUGUCCAGUUAUCAAACCACACACUAGCAUGUCCUUCUCUAGGUUCCCAUUAGAUCUCUACCAUCACUACUAGGCAUCCACCAUGCUUUAUCCUUCCUUCAGUACUAUUAACGCUUCCUAGGGUAUUGCAUAUAUCCUCAUUGAAAUUACUCUCCAGUUCAUUAAUCUUCCAUCCAUCUUCAGCAUAUAGUUCCUUGACAUUUUUCCAUUUGACUUUGGUUAUGUGAUAUAGGCAUCAAAAAAUGCAAAGCGCCCAGUUGUGUCCAGUUAUCAAACCACACACUAGCAUGCCCUUCUCUAGGUUCCCAUUAGAUCUCUUGAUCAAAGAAAUCCCUAGCUUGUAACAUAGUUCUCAAGACUUGAUAUCCUCCUUUCAAGUCCACCAAUUGUGGCCUUUGUCUUUUACAAUACUUAUUUCACAUAAAAUUAGUGCACAUGAUAUUUUUGGUUUUGAAAUUCCACAACAACUUAGCAAAUGAAGCUUUGGAUACAUCAAAUAAAGAUCUAAAACCUAAACCUGCCCCCUCCUUGGGUAGACAACUAUCCCCCAUUUAAGAGGUCUGAUAGUUGAGAGGAGGUAGACAUGAAUACUCUGCAAUACAUGGUUAAUCAACACUUCCUUCCCUCCCCCCCCCCCCAUAAGAUAGAAGUUUCCCUUUCCACGUGUGAAGUUUAUUUUGAAACUUCUUGGUGAGCUCUUUGAAAUGAAUCUUCUUCUUCUUAGCAUGGCCAAUAGGACAACCCAAGUAAGUUAAAGGAAAACUCCCUUUCCAGAAAUUUGUGAUUUCUUCCACCAUUUGAACAAAACUAAGAGAAACUUUGAUAAACAAGUAAAAUAAACUUUUUUCUUUGUUUAUAAGUUCUCCUGAUUGUUAUUCAUACAUUUUUAAUGUAUGCAUUAUCAACUGGAGAGAACUCCUAUCAACAGAAGAAAAAAUAAUUGUAUCAUUAGCAUAAGAUAAGUGAUUCAGCUGUUCACUCCAUUUAGGAAAACCAUAUCCUCUAUAUUUGUCUUCUAGGAAUGGAUGAUUUAGAGCUCUAGUUAAUAGCUCAACAGUAAGUAUAAACAAAGUAGGAGACAAAGGAUCUCCUUGUUUAACCCUCGUUGAUGAAUGGAAAAAAACAUGUUCUUGACCAUUAAUCAAUACAGAGUACCAAUUAUUAGCAAUAAUUCUCCAAAUCAUGUCAAACAUCAUAGAAUUAUAACCCAUUUUUUUCAACUACUUUAAUAAAAAAUCUCCAAUCAACCUCGUCAUAUGCCUUUGCCAUGUCAAGCUUAAUAAUCACAUUAUCAGGUUGGCCCCUCAACCUAAUAUCAGUAAUAAUUUCUUGAGCUAACAAUACAUUUUCAGUAAUAUUUCUUCCUUUGACAAAUCCAGAUUGAUUCCGGGAUAUCAACCUAGGAAGUAACACUUCCAUUCUCUCAUGCACCAAUCUAGAUAUGAUAUUAUUAAGGAAAUUACUCAAGCUAAUAGCUCUAAGAUUAGUAAAGGAUUGAGGAAAAUACUUUUUAGGUAAUAGCACCAAGUUAGUAUGAGUAAUAGACUUAGGUAAAUUAGCUCAUUUGAUGAAAUCCUGAACAACUUUUAUCACAUCUAAACCAAUAGUGUCCCAACAGUUCUGAUAAAAACACCCAGAAAAACCAUCUGGUCCACAAGAGCUUUCUGCAUCUAACUCAAAUACUACCCUCUUAAUCUCAUCCUCAUCAGGUAAUUUGGUCAAUAUAUCAUUUUCCUUUUGUGAGAUUACAUGAUUAAUAUGCAUUAGUAGAGAUAGGUCAGAAUGAUUUACCCCUGCAGUAAUUUGUUUUGUAUAAAAAUUAACCCCUUUCUCUACAAUCACACUUUCUGAUUCUGCCCAUGAGCCAUUAGAUUUAAUAAUUCUCCUAAUGUAAAACCUUUUUCUUCUUCCUCUCACUAGACUGUGAAAGAAUUUAGUGUUCAUGACCCCUUCCUCAAACCACUGCACACUAGCUUUUUGUCUCCAAAACUCUUCUUCAAAGUGUAAAUAAACCUUCAGCUCUGCAUGAGCCAUAUGAAGAAUACUUCUGUUAGAGGGUGAUAGAUCAUAAAGAAAUAGUUGCUCCUUCAAUUUCACUAUAUCUUCUCAAAUUGAUAGUUGUUUUAAAUAUGGCCCCAAAAUUUUCUUUACUCCACUUGGCUAAUGCCAUCUUGGUCCUCUUUUGUUUCUGCUUAAGCUGUAAAAAAAUAUUAUUUGAACUCUCAGUCACCCAUUUCUACUCCACCACUUCUUUAAAAUCCUCUUUUUCAGUCCAAAACUUGAGAAACCUGAAAGGUUUGACAAUAUGGAAUGUUUUUGAUCGAGGGAAUGAAUUUUAUCUUUUUACAUGAUUUUGAGAAUUUUUCAUUGAGCUAGACCCAUAUAUACAUAAUUAUUUAAAAUUAUAUAGUUAUUGUUGGAUCUAAAUCAACAGUCAACAAGGAUAGAAAUUACAUUUGCAUUAAAAUAAAAUUGGGAAUCUGUGAGAAAAUCCAAGAUUAAAAAGAGAUAUUAAAAAGGGAAGAUGGAAAAAGUACUUAUGAGACGACAUAAUUCAUCCGAGGAAGAAAUGACUUGGAAGAACUUAGGGUGAGAAAUGUUAGGAGAAGAGUUCCAAAAGGAAGAGUCAUGGAACUUGUUUACCAUGACCGCAAUUAGGGAAUCGAUGGGAAAAUUUUGAGGAAUGAUUUUUAUAGGACUAUGUGAUCCGUGCACUCACGAUAACUAUGCGAUAUUUGACUCACGAGGACUAUGUGAUGUGUAACUUAAGAGCACUAUGAGAUGUGUGACUCACGAGGACUAUCUGUUGUGUGACUCACGAGGACUAUGUGAUGCGUGUGACUUAUGAGCCAAAAGAAAAACACAUGACUAGUGUUUGACUAGAUUUUCAAUCAGAUUUUGAAUUUUCUUUUCAAGUUUCAACACCCUGUUUUUUGGAGAAGUUUCAUUUUCACUUACAAAAGUUUAUUUUUUCAUGUAAAAUACAUAUUCAAAAACAACUUCUUAUUUCAAAAAGAGAAAAUAUAUAAUUACCCCAUUAAAGUAAGACAUGUUUUUAAAAGACACUUGAACUUUGCGGGAUCCUAUUACUCCACUAAACUGCUUUCAACCAAACUUAAUAUGUCGUUUUCAUUUAGCUCUUGCUGUAUUCUCACAUUGCAAGAGCGCGUGAAUAGUUUAAAAAAGCAGCCUCUAACCAAUAUAAAAAAGCGAUGUGGCAUUUCAAAAAAUUUGUAUUCUUUCUAAAAGAAAAAACACAUCUUCCCCAAAUCAAUUCAAAACAAUUAACACCAUUAAAGUUUGUUGGAGUGCCCAUGGCCGAGUUAGCAUUGUAUUAUUUCUCGAACUUCGAUUCACUAUCACAAGACGAGUACUCCGUUAAGUCAUCCCCAAUUGCGAUGGGGUGGGGGAGGGGUUGGAAUGAUAAAUGGUACCAUUGCAAUUGGGGAUGACUUAAGGGAGUACUCGUCUUGUGAUAGUGAAUUGAAGUUCGAGAAAUACUAUAGUGCUAACUCGGUCAUGGACACCCCAACAAGCUUCAAUGGUGUUAAUUGUGUUUGAAUUGAUUAGGGGAAGAUGUGUUUUUUCGUUUAAAAAGAAUACAAUUUGAAAUGCCACAUUGCAUUUUUAUAUUUGUUAGAGGCUGUUUUUUUAAACUGCUCACGUGCUCUUGCAAUGUGAGAACACAUCAGGAGCUAAAUUAAAAUGACAUAUUAAGUUUGGUUGAAAGUAGUUUAGUGGGGUAAUAUGUUCCCCGCAAAGUUCAAGUGUCUUCUAAAAAACAUGUCUUACUUUAAUGGGGUAAUUAUAUAUUUUAUCUUUUUGGAAUAUGACGUUGUGUUUGAAUAUGUAUUUUACAUGAAAAAAAAUUAAACUUUUGUAAGUGAAAAUGAAACUUCUCCAAAAAACAGGGUUUGAAACUUGAAAAAAUAAUAAUUUAAAGAUAGAUUUUCAAAAUCUGAUUGAAAAUCUAGUCAAACACUUGUCAUGUGUUUUUCUUUCGCCUCGUAAGUCAGACACAUCACAUUGUCCUCGUCACACAACACAUAGUUCUCGUGAGUCACGUAUCUCAUAGUCCUCAUUAGUCACACAUCACAUAGUCCUCGUGAGUCAAACAUCACAGUCAUCGUGAGUGCACGCAUCAUAUAGACCUAUAAAAAUCAUUCCUCAAAAAUUUCCCAUCCAUUGCUCAACUGCGGUCAUGGUUAACAAGUUCCAUGACUCUUCCUUUUGGAACUCUUCUCCUAACAUUCCUCACCCUAAGUUCUUCCAAGUCAUUUCUUCCUCAGAUGAAUUAUGCCAUCUCAUAAGCACUUUUUACAUCUUCCCUUUUUAAUAUCUCUUUUUAAUCUUGGAUUUUCUCACAGAUUCCCAAUUUUAUUUUAAUGUCAAUGUAAUUUCCGUCCUUGUUAACUGUUGAUUUAGAUCCAACAAUUUCUAUAUACUUUUUAAUAAUUUCAUAAAUAUGGGUCUAGUUCAAUGAAAAAUUCUCAAAAUCAUGUAAGAAGAUAAAAUUUCAUUCCCUCGAUAAAAAACAUUCCUUUCAUGCCCAAAGAUAUAUAGACAUUUGGAGAAUUCAACAUUUGAUAAUCAAAUAUAUGGAUGUGUUAAUAGGAGGUAGCUUGUACCUGUAGAACUAAUAAGUCGAGUUACUUAAGGCCAAAUUUGGCUAACCAAAGGAUUGAAGGAAUUUUGUGACUAUUACUCAAUAAGCAUCAGGAACUUUUUGAUCUUCAGAUACAACGCUCGUGCUCAUUUUGAUGUCACUAUAUGUGAUCAGUGAACAACAAAAAAUUAAUAUCCAAUAGAUCAAGAGAUUGAAUCAGAUGAUAUUCCAGUGAACCUCCAAACUUAUGCUAUGUAAUCAAGGAAAACGAGGAAUAUAUUCCAGUUAACUUUCAAACUAAUGCUAAUGUAAUUGAGCAAGAAGUGUCUCAAGGUAAGUAAACAUCUUAACUGAUUUAUUAGCUAUUAAGUGAAUCCAUUUAGUAGUAUUACAUUGCACUUGGAUAUCUAUUUCAAGAAAUAAGUGAACUCUCUGAGGAGCACGAGCAGUAACCCAACAUUGGUAUCGGUAAAACCAAAACCUUGUUAGACUUUUUCAACUAUUUAAGAGAUUUUUUUUAGUUUAGUAAGAUCAACGCGAGUAAAACUUAUAAGUAAUUAAGAUCCUCAAUCUGUCCUAAAAACAAGAAGCAACUCCAAUGUUUCAAUUAAUGCGAUAAAACUUUUUAUAGAUGCAUAUAGUUUAAAAAUGAAAUGAGCUUAUUGUUAAUACUAAUGAUUAUAAACAUCUAAUGACAUCAAUAUAUAUAUAUGUAGCCAUAAGACUUUAAAAACAUGUGGUCUUAGAUAUUCCAUAACAUUUCUAUAGCUAGGAAUCAUAUCAUAGUAGUUGCUAUACUUAUCUCAAGUUUGUUGUAGAUCAGGAGGUCGGAGAAGCUAAUAGUAAAAGUGAAGAAGCUGGUCAAAAGAAUAGCAGUCGACACAACUUUGUGAACUUAAAUGGUGAUAGUUCGUAUUUUGAAAUUGUUAUAAAAAAAAGAUACACACUACUUCUAUAGUAAGGUUUAAUAAUGAGUACAUUUUGUUUCCACAUUUUCUAGAUUUUUCAUUCCUUUAUGUACUAAUUAUUUUCCUUAAAAUCUAACGAUCAUGUUUGUUUGAUGAAUAUUAGACUAUCCCGAUCAGAUUCACCCUAAGGACAAACAUAGUCAACAUGAAGAAUAUGAGGUAGUUUAAUGAAGAAGGAAU